rnacentral:rRNA from 1 species
GACGAGGGACCCUAGCGUUGUUCGGAAUUACUGGGCGUAAAGCGCACGUAGGCGGAUUUGUAAGUCAGGGGUGAAAUCCCGAGGCUCAACCUCGGAACUGCCUUUGAUACUGCAAAUCUCGAGUCCGGAAGAGGUGAGUGGAAUUCCUAGUGUAGAGGUGAAAUUCGUAGAUAUUAGGAAGAACACCAGUGGCGAAGGCGGCUCACUGAUCCGGUACGUGACGCUGAGGUGCGAAAGCGUGGGGAGCAAACAGGG